ensembl:lncRNA
UGGGUGCUGUCAAACAUUGCUUAGAAGGCUCUAUUUAAAGGUUUACUGCUGCUGCUAAGUCGCUUCAGUUGUGUCCGACUCUGUGCGACCCCAUAGAUGGCAGCCCACCAGGCUCCCCCACUCUCUUAAACUCCCUAACCUGGAUACUCUUACAACAUCCUGGGAGUCCUGCACAGUGAGCGGUGACGCACUGAAUGGUCCAUUUUUCUUUUCUAAAUCCAGGGCUGUGUUUUGCUUCUCAUGGCGCUGAUGGCAUAUCUGAAAGGUUCCACAGAUAACUGAUAUUCAGCUUCCUGGGUAGCUUAAAUGAUGAAGAAUCUGCCUGCAAUGUGAGAGACCUGGGUUCGAUCCCUGGGUCGAGAAGAUCCUCUGGAGAAGGGCAUAGCAACCCAUUCCAGUAUUCUUGCCUGGAGAAUCCCAUGGACAGAGGAGCCUGGUGGAUUAUAGUCUAUGGACUCACAAAGAGUUGAAUAUGACUGAACAACUAACACACACACACACAUAAGUGAAAUCAUAUAGUGUUUGUCUCGUCUGACUUAUUUCACUUAGCAUAAUGCCUUCUAAGUCUAUCCACAUUGCUGCAAAUAGCAAAAUUUUGCUCUUUUCUAAGGCUAAGUAAUAGUCCAUUGUAUAUAUAAGCCACAUCUUCUUUAUCCAUUUAUGGAUGGACAUUUAGGUUGCUUCCAUGUCUUGGCUAUUGUAAAUAGUGCUGCUA